CUGAAAGCCUGGGGAACUGAAAUCCUUCUGUCAUGCACAGAACAAACACAGCAGAGACAGCUGUAGUAUCAGUUUGCCUGCCCUGCCUUAGCCCAAGAGAUUGCAGUGCUGUUUGCUUGGUCACUCUUCCGUCCCUCUGCUGGUUCCACCUCCCACAAUU
rnacentral:sRNA from 1 species